GGGGGAAGCGAAAUUAAUUGUAAUUGGGAUUGUGGAGCUUCAUUCAAAUUCUAAAUUCAUUCGCAAAUUUUGUUGAAUAUGUGAAGUCAUACAAUUAAAACUUUGUUCAAUUUUUUUACUAAAUGAUUUUUUAUCUGGUUUAUAUAUGAUUUAAAAAACUAAAAGACGACUUAUACAAAUUGAAAUUUAAAAAAAUGUUUUUACAUCAUUAAAUAGAUAUUGUUAAUGUAAAAAAAUAAAUACAUGAUAGAUUAGUAAAAAAAAUAUUUUUGUUGAUUCUGGGCCAACUAAUAAGGCAAGAUAUUUCAUUAGGUCAAUUUUGUAAUAUGAAAUCUUUGAGGCCCAAUGUUAUAAUCCACUUACACUUUCCAAAUACAUAAUUAACCAUUUUUUUUUCUUUUCUGUUCGAAAAAUAUACCCUAUCCUUCGUCUCCAUUUCGUCGCUUCGGAACAAACGACGCUCAAAUCUUCUUCGAACCUACAUGCGAAAUGAAUUCACCUUCCACAGAUCUUCAGUGAAAUGAAUCGAAGGUUCUAUCAGAUCUACCGAGUUAUGUAUUAGCUUCGUCAAUCAAAAGCCAUAAGAUCCCUGGGAAUGUACAAAUAAAUCAGAUCAAACUCACGGUGUCUGUUAAUGGAGCCGAUACAUUUGUUCUGAAAUAAGAGAAGAUGCGGCAAAAAAGCACAUGGAGCUUCAGUCAUUCAGCUAAGUUCUCAUUGCCUCAGCAUGUUUGCAAAUAGAAAACAAACACUCAAAAACAGAAAUUUCAUUGACAUAAAUUUCUUUUCGUUCAACCUCAGAACAUGUGUCUUUUCCCUGGAUCAGCUUCAUAUAACACCUUCAGAUCAUGUACAAAUCCUCACUCCUUCGAUGUAAAUAAGAGAGAUUGACAAUCAAGAGAAAGAUUGUAGAUUGAAAGCUCAGCCGUUGUCUACUAAUCAGCAAUAACAGGCAUCACUCAUAAUCGUCAAUUUUUCAUCACUUGGCCGUGACAUCUUUUCCACCAACUGAAGGAUUAAGCUCCUCCCACGCCUCAGUCCAAGCGAUCAUUGCAUCAGCCAAUUUCUCAAAGGAUCAACUUUAGCAAGCUUCUGUUUUGUCAUCUUGGACAACUCCAUAUAGCAUCUAGUGGUGGCAGGCCCGGUCCUGAGCCUAUAACUAAAAAACAUGGCAUCGGUGUAGGGUUCUUUGGAGAGACAAACGUUCUGGCAGAAAGGAACCAUAUCUUCUUGCCAAUGACCUCACUUGUGCUCUUUCUUUAGGUUCACGAACGUGUUAAUCGCUUUGCUUUAACCGGUCUUCCUUGUACUCCCUUGCGCCCAAAGCGGUCUUGACCCCGAAAGCCCAAGUGGUCACACACAACUUUAGCUGCCCAACCAGCCACAUGUCAUCGUACCGGGAAAUAGGCGCUGGUCCAACAAGCUCUCUAUUGAAAGCAAGACUCAUGCCACACAUGGGUACAGAACACGUUUUGGGAUUGUCAUCACUGCAUCAACAUAUAUGCAAGGACUAUUGUAGAGACCAGAGAUGCUAAAGUCCUAGAUUUUUAUUUUGUUUUGUAUAUAUUAUUAAGGCUUAAUUUGUUUGUUUAAAUCUUAUAUCUCCUGGCUCCUUGGACCAUAAUAGUUUCGGGUUAAUUUAAUUCGUUUGUCAUGUUUUUAACUAUUUAACUUUGUAUAUGUAUAUUCUUCAUGUUUUUGAAAAGAACAUGACCUCAAAAGUUGAGGCAGCAGAUUAAUAAUUUCUUAGAUGAUUGAGCGGAGAUGUGGAGUUGCGAAAAUGGAGACAAAGCAGCAGAAGAACUGAAACCAUGAGAGGUGGAAAGCUCUCAUGUGAGGUUGCGACAGAGAAUGCAAAACUUCUCUCUGGGCACCAUCAAGCAAUAAGAUUUUGGCUGCAUUUUUAAAAGUGUUUUUAGUCAUUCUUAUACGGAAAUUAACUGCCUUAUGUUCUUGUGAUUAUUACAAGUCUCUGCAAAUCGCACUAUCGAGGACUCUCUAUCCACAUCUUUAUCAAGUAACCACAUGUGAAAACACUGCUCAAUAAACUAUUACUUAUAGGGGUCUUACUUGUGUUGUUAGAGCAGUAAUCAUGUGUUAAUAACGGUUUAGA